AAAACGACUCUCGACAACGGAUAUCUCGGCUCUCGCAUCGAUGAAGAACGUAGCGAAAUGCGAUACUUGGUGUGAAUUGCAGAAUCCCGUGAACCAUCGAGUCUUUGAACGCAAGUUGCGCCCCAAGCCGUUAGGCCGAGGGCGCGCCUGCCUGGGUGUCACAC
rnacentral:rRNA from 1 species